rnacentral:rRNA from 1 species
UACGUAGGGACCAAGCGUUGUUCGGAUUUACUGGGCGUAAAGGGCGCGUAGGCGGCUUAACAAGUCACUUGUGAAAUCUCCGGGCUUAACUCGGAACGGCCAAGUGAAACUGUCAAGCUAGAGUGCAGAAGGGGCAAUCGGAAUUCUUGGUGUAGCGGUGAAAUGCGUAGAUAUCAGGAAGAACACCAAUGGCGAAGGCAGCUCUCUGGGACGGUACUGACGCUGAGACGCGAAAGCGUGGGGAGCGAACAGG